rnacentral:rRNA from 1 species
UACGUAGGGAGCAAGCGUUGUCCGGAAUCAUUGGGCGUAAAGCGCGCGUAGGUGGCUUCGUAAGUCCGUUGUGAAAGUCAAAGGCUCAACCUUUGAAAGCCGAUGGAUACUGCGGAGCUAGAGUACGGAAGAGGAGAAUGGAAUUCCUGGUGUAGCGGUGAAAUGCGCAGAUAUCAGGAAGAACACCCGUGGCUAAGGCGGUUCUCUAGUACGGUACUGACGCUGAGACGCGAAAGCGUGGGGAGCGAACAGG